rnacentral:tRNA from 1 species
GGGUCGAUGGCCGAGUGGUUAAAGGCGGCAGACUGUAAAUCUGCUGACGUAAGUCUACGGUGGUUCAAAUCCAUCUCGGCCCA